rnacentral:rRNA from 1 species
UACAGAGGUGGCAAGCGUUGUUCGGAAUUACUGGGCGUAAAGGGCGCGUAGGCGGCCAUCUAAGUCAGACGUGAAAUCCCUCGGCUUAACCGGGGAACUGCGUCUGAUACUGGAUGGCUUGAAUCCGGGAGAGGGAUGCGGAAUUCCAGGUGUAGCGGUGAAAUGCGUAGAUAUCUGGAGGAACACCGGUGGCGAAGGCGGCAGCCUGGACCGGCAUUGACGCUGAGGAGCGAAAGCCAGGGGAGCAAACGGG